AGUGAACGCUGGCGGUAGGCCUAACACAUGCAAGUCGAACGGCAGCACAGUAAGAGCUUGCUCUUACGGGUGGCGAGUGGCGGACGGGUGAGGAAUACAUCGGAAUCUACUUUUUCGUGGGGGCUAACGUAGGGAAACUUCCGCUAAUCCCGCAUACGUCCUACGUGUGAAAGCAGGGGAUCUUCGGACCUUUCGCUAUUGUAUGAGCCUAUGUCGGAUUAGCUAGUUGGCGGGGUAAAGGCCCACCAAGGCGACGCUCCGUAUCGGGUCUGAGAGGAUGAUCAGCCACACGGGAACUGAGACAGGGUCCAGACGCCUACGGGAGGAAGCAGUGGGGAAUAUUGGACAAUGGGCGAAAGCCUGAUACAGCCAUACCGCGUGGGUGAAGAAGGACUUAGGGUUGGAAAGCCCUGUUGUUGGGAAAGAAAAGCAGCAGGUUAAUACCCCGCUGUUCUGACGGUACCCAAAGAAUAAGCACCGGCUAACUUCGUG
rnacentral:rRNA from 1 species